rnacentral:tRNA from 1 species
GAGAGGUGGCGGAGCGGUCGAUCGCGGCGGUCUUGAAAACCGUUGUCCCGCAAGGGACCGGGGGUUCGAAUCCCUCCCUCUCC